CUUAACUGACUGGAACCUGCGCCGCUGAUCCAGCUGCCCCAGCGUGCCAGGGCCAUACCCAAAAUGCCUCUCUGCUUUUGUCAACUGUGAUAAGUAUAUGCAGGUGGCUUGACCUGAACUAGGAGUGCGGCUUUGUCCUGAUUACUGGCCUGGUGUUUCUGGUCAUUUUCGGCAGCCUCGUAUCACUGAACUUCUCUGAACUGGGCAUUUUGCAUCAAGGCUUCUUCAAGCUGGACCCUGAGGCAGCAUCCUUAUGUGACCUGGAUAUAUUGAAGGAUCUUUUAAAUGCCCUGGUGCCCACAUUGCUCCUACCACUGCCCACCCAGGAUCUUCCACUGUCAUUAUUAUAACAUCUGUGUGGAGGUGUGAUUGUAGAGAGGCAGAGGACAGGAGGGCAUUGACUGUGAGCGACACAUCUGUAUAGAAAGGAAUGAACACUCAAAAAGUAACAUGUGGAGAAUAGUGUUGAAGAUCAAAGUCUUCUUACAUGUACCAUGGGAGACUUGGGCUGUUUAGAGGUGCUGCUGAGCCACUUCUCAUUGUGACAGAAUAUUUGCAAGCUAAACUCUUGAAGCUGAGGGAAGGUUUCUCCAAGGGGACAACUCCUUCGACCAGAGCUAUGCCAGGAACUCUUACAUCAGCCUCUGUGCACCCCUGGGACCCAAGUACAUGUCAGAAGCUUUUUGGCUCCAGAGAGAAGAGGGGACAAAGUGGGAGUCCAUGGAGGCCCUGCUCUCACCCAGCCCAGUGCUGCAGCAGGAGACCCCAUCCCACCCACUGAUGCCAAGACAUGCACGUGAUGCCAGGAUGUGAACCCCAUAUGGAGGCCUUUUGGACCUGAGCCCUCACUCAUUCCUCUGUUGGGUGUGCCAUGUCCCUCAUAACUGUUGAAUCCUUAUAAAAAUUUUCUCUGCUUUUUA